UUGACAGAUAAACCUUGAAGUCAUGCAGGCAGAAGCAAUUGUGCUUAGGGUCGUUCUCAUCAUACUGGAUACAGACAGCUAAUUCCCCCAGGUGACUGAUGAGAGUGGGGUGCCCGUCCCCCUGCUGACUGUCACUCCUCCAAAGAGGCACGAAAGACCGAGUAUCAAAGAACAACGCAUCUUGCAAGUCGCCUGUGACCGUGCCAGUCAUGAACUGUGGUUGAAACGAGCCAUGCUACACGUCCCUGCACAAAAGCCGAAUCUUAUCCACUUGAUACUGGUGCACGGGAGCAAGCCUGGGAAGUGGGUGAGUACUCGUUAAUGCACAUUAAUGAAGUGCAGGCCGCAUCAGUCUGAGCAAACACGCAAGGCUGGCAGCCUGCCUGUGCCUGAGCAGGGGCUGCCUGUCCGGACCGUGGGAGGGAAG
rnacentral:lncRNA from 1 species